rnacentral:rRNA from 1 species
GACGAACGCUGGCGGCGUGCCUAAUACAUGCAAGUCGAGCGAAUCAAUGGGAGCUUGCUCCCUGAGAUUAGCGGCGGACGGGUGAGUAACACGUGGGUAACCUGCCUGUAAGACUGGGAUAACUUCGGGAAACCGGAGCUAAUACCGGAUACGUUCUUUUCUCGCAUGAGAAGAGAUGGAAAGAUGGUUUCGGCUAUCACUUACAGAUGGACCCGCGGCGCAUUAGCUAGUUGGUGAGGUAACGGCUCACCAAGGCGACGAUGCGUAGCCUACCUGAGAGGGUGAUCGGCCACACUGGGACUGAGACACGGCCCAGACUCCUACGGGAUGCAGCAGUAGUGAAUCUUCCGCAAUGGACGAAAGUCUGACGGAGCAACGCCGCGUGAGCGAAGAAGGCCUUCGGGUCGUAAAGCCCUGUUGUUAGGGAAGAACAAGUACAAGAGUAACUGCUUGUACCUUGACGGUACCUAACCAGAAAGCCACGGCUAACUACGUGCCAGCAGCCGCAGUAAAAC